rnacentral:rRNA from 1 species
AUGUGCGAAAGUGUGGGAGCAAACAGGAUUAGAUACCCUGGUAGUCCACGCCGUAAACGAUGUCGACUUGGAGGUUGUGCCCUUGAGGCGUGGCUUCCGGAGCUAACGCGUUAAGUCGACCGCCUGGGGAGUACGGCCGCAAGGUUAAAACUCAAAUGAAUUGACGGGGGCCCGCACAAGCGGUGGAGCAUGUGGUUUAAUUCGAUGCAACGCGAAGAACCUUACCUGGCCUUGACAUCCACGGAAUUUGGCAGAGAUGCCUUAGUGCCUUCGGGAACCGUGAGACAGGUGCUGCAUGGCUGUCGUCAGCUCGUGUUGUGAAAUGUUGGGUUAAGUCCCGCAACGAGCGCAACCCUUAUCCUUUGUUGCCAGCACGUAAUGGUGGGAACUCAAAGGAGACUGCCGGUGAUAAACCGGAGGAAGGUGGGGAUGACGUCAAGUCAUCAUGGCCCUUACGGCCAGGGCUACACACGUGCUACAAUGGCGCAUACAAAGAGAAGCGACCUCGCGAGAGCAAGCGGACCUCAUAAAGUGCGUCGUAGUCCGGAUCGGAGUCUGCAACUCGACUCCGUGAAGUCGGAAUCGCUAGUAAUCGUAGAUCAGAAUGCUACGGUGAAUACGUUCCCGGGCCUUGUACACACCGCCCGUCACACCAUGGGAGUGGGUUGCAAAAGAAGUAGGUAGCUUAACCUUCGGGAGGGCGCUUACCACUUUGUGAUUCAUGACUGGGGUGAAGUCGUAACAAGGUAACCGUAGGGGAACCUGCGGUUGGAUCACCUCCUUACCUGAA